CUGGUACGAUCGAGAAGUUGACCGGUUGUCAAAUUGAUUUUUUUCUUCGCAAGCAACGUUGUCACGCUCUCAUUUUGACUAGUAGUCCGAUUUCAUGGUUGGUGUAUUGCUAGGGUUAAUAUCUUCUACACAACAGUUUUAUAAUUCGCGGUCAUACCUGUUCGCGUCGGCCAGAAACGAAAAUUUCGUCUAUUUGAUUGCCUAGUUCACCAUGAAGACGAUAUAAAUAGUGGUUUGUUUCCAUCGGAUGCAGUUCGCCAUCGUGAGGUUGCUAGUAACGUUGCAAAUGUAGAAGAGCUAUGGAAUCGACAGCAGUCCGUGGAUCAACCAGGCGCAGCUGCCGUCGACGACUAGCUGACAGGUGAUUUCGUCUCGGUGAAAGAAGGUGAUUGCCUCAUUACAGCAACUAACUAUAAGCGGGUAAUAAUCCCACAACUUUGUUCUUUUCUUUUAUUACUCGCGCAAUAAUUAUAUACAAGCAGUAAAGUAAGUGAGUUGUCAAGUAUAUAAAACUGGAGCGCUCGUUGAAAGCUGAAAUUUCUUUAUCGAGGAAGAAAAUCUCACAUUGAUUAUAGCUUCUCACAAUUCGUGCUCUUAUUAUUUAUGCAGUCUUAUUACGUUUUAUGUUUUAUUGUCAUUAUCAUUAUUGCUUUAACAUGCUGCCUAAUUAACGACUAUUUAAUGACACUGGCUGUAAGAUUUUGCACUUAUGUCUAAUGAUAGAACAUAAAAAUUUGCCUUAUUUAACGAUAAUUAAUUCUUAACCCUUUCGCGACGGCGGAGUUA